rnacentral:rRNA from 1 species
AUUGAACGCUGGCGGCAGGCCUAACACAUGCAAGUCGAACGAGUCGCGGACGGGUGAAUAAUCUCUGAGAAACUGCCUGAUGGAGGGGGAAAAAUUCUGGAAGCGGUAGCAAAUACCGCAUAACAUCAGAUGUGCCCAGAUGGGAUUAGCUAGUAGGUGGGGUAAAGGCUCCCCUAGGCGACUCCCCCUAGCUGGUCUGAGAGGAUGACCAGCCACACUGGAACUGAGACACGGUCCAGACUCCUACGGGAGGCAGCAGUGGGGAAUAUUGCACAAUGGGCGCAAGCCUGAUACAGCCAUGCCGCGUGUAUGAAGAAGGCCUUCGGGUUGUAAAGUACUUUCAGCGGGGAGGCGUUACCCGCAGAAGAAGCACCGGCUAACUCCGUGCCAGCCGCCGCGGUAAUUC